rnacentral:misc_RNA from 1 species
UGAAAAAGGUAAAAUUAGUUAAAAUCUUUUUGACUUUUUGUAAGAAAUUUUGGGAAAUGAUUUCUCGCGCUUACAUUUAGCAUUGAACUUUUUACAGCCCACCUGCAUAGGGUUGGGUGCUGCUAUUAUCUCAGUUAGGGUUUUUUGUAGGUGCUCUGUAUUGAUGUUAGGCUGGGCAUUCUCGGGCGUUGGUUGAUUUUUUUGGUGGCCUGGGCUUGUAUGGGUUGUGUUCUUGUUUUAGGGGCUGGGUUGUAAUCUGGGCUUUUUUGCGAAGCCUUUUUGGUUGUUCUUGCUACUUUUAUGAGGCCCAUA